rnacentral:rRNA from 1 species
CGCAGCCUGAUGCAGCCAUGCCGCGUGUAUGAAGAAGGCCUUCGGGUUGUAAAGUACUUUCAGCGGGGAGGAAGGGAGUGAAGUUAAUACCUUUGCUCAUUGACGUUACCCGCAGAAGAAGCACCGGCUAACUCCGUGCCAGCAGCCGCGGUAA